AGCUUUGCGUAGUGGCAGUAUCGUAGCUAAUGAGGUUUAAUCUGAGGUGCGAUUAUUGCUAAUUGAAGACUAGUGGUCUCUCUAUUCAACCCAUUUGCCUUGGCCAAUCUGGUGAAGC
rnacentral:snRNA from 1 species